GUGGGGAAUUUUGGACAAUGGGCGCAAGCCUGAUCCAGCAAUGCCGCGUGCAGGAAGAAGGCCUUCGGGUUGUAAACUGCUUUUGUACGGAACGAAACGGUCCGGGUUAAUACCCUGGGCUAAUGACGGUACCGUAAGAAUAAGCACCGGCUAACUACGUGCCAGCAGCCGCGGUAAUACGUAGGGUGCAAGCGUUAAUCGGAAUUACUGGGCGUAAAGCGUGCGCAGGCGGUUAUGUAAGACAGAGGUGAAAUCCCCGGGCUCAACCUGGGAACUGCCUUUGUGACUGCAUAGCUGGAGUGCGGCAGAGGGGGAUGGAAUUCCGCGUGUAGCAGUGAAAUGCGUAGAUAUGCGGAGGAACACCGAUGGCGAAGGCAAUCCCCUGGGCCUGCACUGACGCUCAUGCACGAAAGCGUGGGGAGCAAACAGGAUUAGAAACCCGAGUAGUCC
rnacentral:rRNA from 1 species